CUUGACCGAGCCGAGCAGCAGCGGCCGGUCCUCCGGACGGUCCUGGCCGUAGGUGGCGAGGAGCGCCUGAGCCUC
rfam:Streptomyces sp. NRRL F-6602 F6602contig623.1, whole genome shotgun sequence.